rnacentral:rRNA from 1 species
GACGAACGCUGGCGGCGUGCUUAACACAUGCAAGUCGAGCGACGCUCUUCCUUCGGGGAGAUGACGGAGCGGCGAACGGGUGAGUAACACGUGGGCAACCUGCCCCUAGCUCUGGGACAACACCGGGAAACCGGUGCUAAUACCGGAUACGACAUCGAGCGGCAUCUCUCGAUGUGGAAAGUUUUUUCGGCUAGGGAUGGGCCCGCGGCCUAUCAGCUUGUUGGUGGGGUAAUGGCCCACCAAGGCGACGACGGGUAGCCGGCCUGAGAGGGCGACCGGCCACACUGGGACUGAGACACGGCCCAGACUCCUACGGGAGGCAGCAGUGGGGAAUAUUGCGCAGUGGGCGAAAGCCUGACGCAGCGACGCCGCGUGAGGGAGGACGGCCUUCGGGUUGUAAACCUCUUUCAGCAGGGACGAAUUCAGACGGUACCUGCAGAAGAAGCACCGGCCAACUACGUG